rnacentral:rRNA from 1 species
UACGUAGGGUGCAAGCGUUAAUCGGAAUUACUGGGCGUAAAGCGUGCGCAGGCGGUUUUGUAAGUUUGUCGUGAAAUCCCCGGGCUCAACCUGGGAAUGGCGAUGAAGACUGCAAGGCUAGAAUCUGGUGGAGGGGGGUAGAAUUCCACGUGUAGCAGUGAAGUGCGUAGAGAUGUGGAGGAACACCGAUGGCGAAGGCAGCCCCCUGGGUCAAGAUUGACGCUCAUGCACGAAAGCGUGGGGAGCAAACAGG